UACAGAGGGCGCAAGCGUUGUUCGGAUUCACUGGGCGUAAAGGGUGCGUAGGCGGUUGGGUAAGUCUGAUGUGAAAUCUCCGGGCUCAACCCGGGAAUGGCAUUGGAUACUAUUCGGCUAGAGGUUUGGAGGGGGGACUGGAAUUCUCGGUGUAGCAGUGAAAUGCGUAGAUAUCGAGAGGAACACCAGUGGCGAAGGCGAGUCCCUGGACAACACCUGACACUGAGGCACGAAAGCUAGGGGAGCAAACAGG
rnacentral:rRNA from 1 species